GCACGGAGGCCACUCUGCCCCGGGCCUGGCAGCUCCAGGCCCCUGGAUUCACUGAGGACACCAACACGUGCUCCCCGCUGAGAGAUGGGCUCCACGAGAGGGGACCCUGAGCGCACCAGCCCAUCAGCACCCAGGACAAGCAGUCGAGGGCGGUUUUUCGGGAAGGCCGUGCAGGGAACCCGGGCCUCCCCCAGCUCCAGGGCCAGGACGAGCCCCUAGACCUGCG